rnacentral:snRNA from 1 species
GUGCUCGCUUCGGCAGCACAUAUACUAAAAUUGGGACGAUACAGAGAAGAUUAGCAUGGCCCCUGCACAAGGAUGACACACAAAUUCGUGAAGCAUUCCAUAUUUUU